AUGCAUAUUCAUUUAAGUUCAAAUUGAAGUUCAAUUGUUCUUUUUAAGGUCUUCAAUCGCCUAUCUUUGUGACUAUACCUAAAACCUAACUUAAACCCUUUUUAUAGGUAACAAAUGGCAGCCCCCAAGGCAAGUGGAUCCUCUACUCGGCAAGCCCUCAUUAAAGAAGAUCAAAAGAGUGAUGACUUGGAGACGAGGAUUGUAUCCAAAUGGAGCAAUAUUGGAGACACCAACUUAGGAAACUUCAAUGUGAAGAAGUUUCGAGAAGCACCCUACAUCGGCAAGCCAUCACCCAUAGCCAAGAAGAUAAUUGAGAGUGGGAUCAUCAAGGCCGCAAGCUUCCCUCCCGCAGUCAGAUGUCAUGAGCUAAUGAUCGAAUGUGCCAGGCACUAUGAUUCGCGUUCAAGGACAAUUGUAGCCAAAGAUGGGACUAUCCUCUCAUAUCUCUCAUAAGGAGCUAUAAGUGAAGCUUUUCAUCUUCCAAAAUAGAGGGAUAUGAUUUACAAGAGCCUAGAAGGUGCCAAGUCUAUCUACGAAGAUGAUCCUGAUACUUGUCUAAAUUUCAUCAAUAAGAAUUGAUUGCUCAAGAUUAGGCCCUGCCUGAAUAAGAUACCCAAUACACCCCACAGAAUUGAUUUCCAAGAAGAAUUCAGAGACUUGAUAACCAUGCUUAAUUGAAUUGUAGGUGCCUCUCAAGCCUUCUUUUUCGACAGGUGGAUGUUCUUCUUUAUACAAGUGAUCGCUCAAGGGAAAGGAAUGUUCAAUUGGUCCAGGAUUAUCAGUAACAACCUAGAUGUGCAGUUGAGGAGGCUAGUCCCUACUAAGUCAUUCCACAUGAGUUCUUAUGUUAUAUAUUCUUUAGCCAAAUGUUUAGAGUAUGCAAGACUACCACACAGAGGAGUUGUUGGGAGAGGGCCCAGAGAGAUCAAAGUAUGUGAUUCUUAUGCUCAAUGGCAUCAUCCGCCUAAGAAUUACUACAAGCUAGUCAACGAUACUUUCACAAUGCAUAUCAUCAGGACACUACAAGGAGGAAUUCACCAAAAAUUGUCUCCAAAAACACAAGAGCUCGUGAAGAAACAUGGUGCAUGGUUCAUUCAAUUUCCUAAAUUUACCUACAUCAGAAUUCAUGGAUGUCCUUCACCUCCUUAUAUGUUGCCAAGGUAUCCUACGGAUAGAAUAGUACUACUUGAAGUGACUAGGCAGUUGGCAGCUUGUGCUAGGGCAUCAAGACAUAAGCAUGGGAAUCGUAUCCCUAUACCUAUUUCACUUGGAAUUUCAAUUGAAGUGUGUCCUAAUUCUCAAGCAAUUGAAGAUGCUGAAAAGGAGCUAUCUCUCUACUCAUUCGCAUCUUUUGCCUCGAGAGAAAAUUUUGAUCCUAAUGGUCAUAUGGAAGAAACAGUUGGGAAGAAGUACAAGCAUGUAUUUCAAGUAGAAGACUUUUGGAUGAAUGUUCAGGAUGAUGUAGAGGUAAAAAGGAAGACGCACUCUCGAUUGCCCUUAGAUCUUAUCAGGAAAUGCAAAGUUUAUAGAGUAGCAGAUCAAGCACAAGACAAUGGCCGAUAUCUUCAAUCUUCCUAUGAGAAAGAAGACAAAGAAGUGAAGAUUGAUUGGGAUGAGUAAGAGGCCGCCAACUUGAGAGCAUUGAUGGAUCCAGUCUUGAUUUGUACUCGUAGAUGGGUGGAUGUUCAACAUCAAAAGUUGAAGGAACAAAACAUAACUAUGACAUUCAACUUAGAAACAAGAACGGAAGAAGGAGAGGGGAGUGCAAGCGAGAACACUUCUCAUUCUAAGGGGUUGAAGAGAAAGGAAGGACCUGAAAAGAGAGAAUCAUCCAAGAAGAAACAAAGAGUAAAUCUUGAUCAUCCCUUGAGUGCUUCUUCUAGACAUGAAAAAGAGGUAAGUCAAAGAGAGGAUCAAAGAGAGAAGGUUUAUGAGAUAGAUGAGUCCAUGGAGUCCACGAUACAAGAUGACAAACAAGACAAAGGAAGGACACCUCAGCACUCAUCAAGUCAGUCUCUUCCUCUCCAAGUUGAUGUUAAUGAGCAACAAGGAGAAAGAAAUGAUGAUGAAGUGACAUCUCCUUUUAGAGGCGAGAGGCCAUUGCUUGAGGAAGUGCAAGUAAGAGAAGGAAAGUCUUCCAUUCCAAAUUGGCUUAGAGAAAGACUUACGAGGGUAGUUGUGGUUGAAGAUGAGGAGCAAGUAUUUGAUUUGGAGAGCCUUCUAGGCAAUUCUCAAGAGGAAAUUGAAAAGAAGAAAGCUACAAAGAUGUCUAAGGUAAUCGAAGAUGAUACAAGGUCCAGAAAGAUAUAGAUAGCUACACCAGCAGUGGACAAGUACGAUGAUGAGAUCAUGGUAGAAGAAUAUGAUUUAGAGACAUUUGAUCUUGGCCCACUUACCUUCGAGCAAGCCAUGGAAGAUGCGACUGAUUCAAUGAAGGUAGUCAAUGAUAAACUAAAAGAAGAAAUAGAAAAGAAUAAAAGGUUGGAAAAGGAGAUUAAUGCUUGGAGGAAUUAUUUUAGCCACCUUAAUCAGCCAUUAAAGCGACAGGAUCCAGUAGUCUCACCCUUGUAGGCACUCCCUCUUGAGUUAAUAAAUCAUGCAGAAAAGAUGAAGAACUCAGCCCGACUCAUGGAUACAUGGAUUGAUAGAUCCUACAUGGUAGCCAAGAAUUUUAUAAGAAUGAUGAAAACAGUCCACAGGGCUAUCCAGGGCCUUGAGAUCAUUCAUAAUCUAGUGGUAAUUGUCGAUGCAUUCACUCACACUAGAGACAUUAUCAUCCCAGUAUUGCAAGUGGUAAGGAGGACAUCAAGACAGGUUUUAGCACAUGAAAAGAUAAUUGAUGGAGGAACCCAUAAUCUCCUACAAUGGUCAACUUUGCUCCAAAUGAAGGAAGUUCUAUUCAAGGACAUCAGUAGUAGGUGCAGCCGAGUUGAGGACACUAUCCAUCCUAUUCAGGAUAAGGUGUUUGAUGUACUGCGUACAAUCCUUGAUAGAAGGAUAGAGAUUGAAACAGAUGUGGACGUCCAAGAAUUGGAGGACAGGAUCAAGGUCAUCUUUUGUAGAGAAGCUUGCAUAAUCACAGAAGAGCAGCAAGAUCAGAUGUAUACUACUAUGUUCCUGAUUUAGAAAACAGAAGAGUUGGAGCACGGAUGGGAGAUGACUCUUCUUGCGGCCUUUGAUGAGGUCCUUCACUUGGAAGAGCAAAUGAAGAACAUGCCUUAGAUUCCCAAUGUAGAGAUUGAGGGGAUUACGUCCAGGUUCAUUGAAUUUGCCAAAAAGGAACAAAAUUCUAGAUGAAAAGUUAUGAAAUGAUGUGGCGGUUCAAUGCUUUCUUGUUAUUUGUGCCAAUUUCUAUUGGCUAUGUUAUGAUAAUGCUUAUCCAAAUAGGGUUAUUCUUGUAACAAACCCUAAUUAGGGUUUAGGUGUCAAAAUCUCAGCCUUUGAUCUUCUUUAAAUCUGGGCCAUUCAUUGUAUUUGAGAGUGCUAUAUAAGCUCUCACUCAUUUCAUUUUGUAGGGUUAAGAGGAAUAAGUUUAUUAGCUGCAGAGAAGAAGAGUAGUUAUACAAAUUUGGUGAAGAGAGAAAGUUAAACAAUUGUUGUUAUAUUUUGCUAUGAGAUCAAUGAAAUAUUGAAGUUGUGGUGUUUUAUUGCAAUCUUUGUGGCUUCUUACAUGGUUGUUUAUCUUCUUGAAUCACUCUUAUUGAAGAUAGUAUUUAGAUGUUAGAGUUAGAUUGAAUGAUAAAUGCUGUGCCUGAUCUUUUAGUGAAGCUCAUAAUCCAAACCACUAGCCUCUUACUGAUUGUAAGUGUGCCCUGUGUGGUCAAUUAGAGAUAUUGAAAUUGUUUAGGGUUCAAUCAUUACUUGAAUACUGAUAUGUAUCCUAUUGAUAGUAUCUAUGCUCAUUAAUGAUUUGAAAAUCUUUGAAUUCCCUAAGAAGAUCGCAUCGAUUCCAGUAGAGUUGUUGUUCUAUGGCGAUACUGAGAUUGGUAGAGUUUCACUAAGAUCACCCUCCAUUUAGUCAUUCAUAGGUUUAGUUUAGCAUAGCCCCCACUAAUCCCUUAUCUUUUGUCCUUUUUUGAAACCUUGGUUAGUAUUAGUAAAACCCAGUUCCUCAUUGGUUAAGUAGUUGCGAGAACCAGCUUUCAUAGAAAGUAUGUAAGGCCCCUUGACGAAACAACAAACACUGGUGCUUAUCCACAUGUAGAGAACCUACAUAUUAGAACCUUGGAGUUGCCUCGAUUGAUCCUUAGGCAAAAUCUUCAGCAUUCGGGGAAGCUUUGUUCAAGAGAGGAUAAGGUACCUUUGGGUAUUUUAUUCUGUGUUUGAUCAUGUAUAAAAGACACAUCAACAAAUCUCUAGGUAUAACAUUUGCCAUUUGGAUUUUGAGAUCUAAAGUGAUUGAUAAAUUGAUAAAUUAUGUUUUCUCUUUUCUCUUUGCUUUCUAACUUUUCAAAUUUUUUUAUUAUGCAGAUGCUUGGUGGCAAAAUUGGGGUGGAAACACACCACAUCUCAAAAAAUUUGCCCUCAAAAUCUUAUGUCAGCCUUGUAGUUCAUCCAAUUGUGAAUGCAAUUGGAACUUGUUUGAAGCAAUCCACACGAAGAAGAGGAGCAAGUUAGCGCAGAAACGCCUCAAUGAAUUUGUUUUCGUGCAAUAUAAUCUUCGAUUGCGCGUAAGGAAGGUAGAGGAAGUAGAAGGUGGUCCAAUUGAGUUGGAUGAUAUAGAUCCUUACAGUGAUUGGACAUCACAUGAGCAGCCUCCAUUGUUUUCCGAGGAUGACAUCACUGAUUUGGAGAGGCAGACUAUGGAGGAGGAGGGGGGUGGAUUUGGUUUCACACUGGAUGACAUUGAGGAGGAAGAGGAUGAGGAUGAGGAGUCAUUGCCAGUGCCAGAAGCAGGUGGAGACAUAGCUUCAUCCAGGAUGGAGGACGAGCCAGCCAUACCGAGCGAGGAGGCACAGUCACGUCCACUGCAGACUUCUAGGACUAGACCCUCUAGUUCUACCUCUCCCCUAGUUUUUGCUAGAGCUGGGAAGAGGAAGUUGUAAUUGUAAUGAUGUAUUUACUUUUGGUUUUACAAAAACUAUUUACUAUUUUGCUUCCAGGCUUCCAGCCAUCAGCAUUUUCCUCACGAGGAUGCGAUUUUGUAGACACUUUGCAUUUAAAUAUAUCUAGAAUCAGCUUGUUUCUUUUGUGUUCUCAUUUAUUGACUCAUUAGAUGCAUCUUCUCAUUAAAUUUUGCAAAAAAACUGCAUUUUUAAUUAAAUUUAAGUGUGUUUUUAAGUUGCCAAGUUUUUCACCGAGUUUUUCCCAAGUUUUUUUUUUCAGGCCUUGGCGAGUUUUGCUGAGUGGUGAGUAGUUCAUCUAUGCUAUGCAGUAUAGUCAGCAAGACAACUACCUCAAAAUUUGAUGGCCAAGCAAGAUAUAUCAGAGCUUGGGUUUCCGGAAGCAAAUGGCAGUGUAAAGGCAGAAGUUACAGAUUCCAGCAAUGAACGAUAUGAAAAAGGACAACACAGUGAAUCUAUAAAAAAUUAGGCGG